rnacentral:tRNA from 1 species
UCUUAUUUGGCAGAUAAGUGUAUUAAAUUUAAGUUUUAAAAAUGUCAUAGACAAUAAGAA